AGAGCUGUUAGAGCAGGGACGCGCGAAAGGCGGGAGUACGGGCGGCGCUGGAGAACCUCCGCGGCGGAGGGGCCUGGGGGUGGGACCGCGCCCGCGAGCCCGCCCUGACCGGGGUGCGUUCUACUGGCAGUUGCUGAGUUCGGAAGAUUAACUCUGAAUGUGGAGAGAUUAUUUUCUUGCUCGUAAACCUGGUUUACAUAUUUUCAUUCUUAAUGCUCAGUAAUCUUAAGGAAAGUCACCUGAAAGAAUACUUUUUCACCAAGUACUCUUCUGCGCCUGUUUGAAGGUGUCUGUGUGCUUGUGAAGCGCUCCCUUGUUAGUUCCUUCUGUGAGACUCGGGGGAGACUGAAGAGGGAAAUCACCUGCGGGGAAUGAACAGGAAAGCAAUAAGAAGAUUUGGAAAAGAGGCACUGGCUACUGGAGGAAGGGAGAAAUCACCGAGAGAGCGAAAGAUGUAACAGAAAAAAAAGGCCUUAUGAAGACAUUGCAAAAGGACAACUAUCUGCAAACCAGGAAGACAGACCUCACCAGAAAUCAACCCUGCUGGUGGUACCUUGAUCUUAGACUUCCAGCCUCCAGAAGUAUGAGAAAAUAAAUAUCUGUAAUUUAAGUCACCUAGUCUAUGGUAUUUUGUUAUGGCAACCCUAGCACACUAAUGCACACUUCAAUUGAAAGAAUUAGUGAUAUCUCAAAUUCAACAAGUGCAAAAUGAACCCAAGAUCUUCCCCACCAGAACUUGGUCCUCUAUUAGCAUGCUUGAUCUCUCUGAAUGACACCACUAUUUAACCUGUUAUGGUAGCCCAAAACCUAGACAUUACUCUUCACAUUUUCCUUUCUCUCUCUCACCUGUUCUCUCAUUUUUCAGUUUAUCUCUCAGUUCUGUCAAUUCAUUUCUUGACUAUUCCUUAAACCCAGACAUUUCUGUUUUCCUCCACUGCCAUCUCUCUACUUCAAGUACCAUUCUCUCUUACCUGGACUAGCCAUAGUGUCCUAAUUGAUCUCUUUUUAUUCAUUCUUGCUCCCCUAUAACUCAUUCUUCACAUGAUAGCCAGAGUGUUAUAGUAAAAACCAAAGCCAGGGCCAGGCAAGGUGGCUCACACCUGUAAUCCCAGCACUUUGGGAGGCCAAGGCAGGCAGAUCACCUGAGGUCAGGAGUUCAAGACCAGCCUGGCCAACAUGGCGAAACCCCAUCUCUACUAAAAAUACAAAAUUAGCUGG
rnacentral:lncRNA from 1 species